GGGUCAGUAGGUUGGUCGUGCCACCGGUACGUACUGGUCUCACUGAUUCCUCCUUCCUGAAGAACCGUAAUGCCAUUAAUUCGGUGUUGCGGGGAAAUAGGACUGUUACUUUGAAAAAAUUAGAGUGUUUAAAGCAAGCUAACGCUUGAAUACACUAGCAUGGAAUAAUGAAAUAGGACGAUCGAUCCUAUUUUGUUGGUUUCUAGGAUUGACGUA
rnacentral:rRNA from 1 species